AUGAUGAAACAAAGGGCUGGGCAAAUAGCAUUUGACAAACGUAAUGGAGUCCACACAGCGGUGGUCCUUGUCUUCAUUGCUGCUCAUGACUUCUCUCCUUUUUGGACUUCUGGGACUAAACAGAGGUCCUGUUUCCAUGAGCCAGAGAAGCCUUGGUGUCAAAUAACGAAGGGAGCGGAGACGCAGAAGGAGCUGGCUCACAGGCCUUGGCCAAAACCUUACGCCAGUCGUACAAACACACACAGAGAAGUCACCUGUGUUGGUUGUCAGCAGAUGAGCUCCCUCCAGUCCUCCUGGUUUUUGGAUGUACUUCCAGAACUGCGUUUGAAUCUUCCUUCUGACUUGUGCUGAAGGCCAUCUCUUGUUUAUUCAUUGAGGAAGAUGGAGAAUCGGGGACAGCUGGAUAUGGUGCUAGCCAGACUAAAAGCUAGCACUUGACUGCUGUUGCUUAUAAACUGUGGUGCUGACCACCUGGACGGGCUGCCAGGAUAACGGAUGGCCAUGGAUUGUCCCUCAAGAAAGGUUCCUACUGAGAUUCUGUGGUAAAAGCUUAAUAGAUGACAAACGGAUGCACAGAGAAAUCUGUGUUAAAAUGCAGUGAUGCAACCCACGUACUGGGUGCUGACAAACUGACCACAUUCAUAAAACAAUUAUUAGAUUCCUGUAGAUGUACAUGUGAGGUGUUUCUAUUUUUGUUCACUAGCUUUUAAUUGUAUGCGUCAAACUGUCAGGCUGAAUAGACACGUGAAACCAUGAUGAUUCUCCAAACUGCAUGCACGUUUGGAGUCCCCAGGCUCCUCCAGAAAUCUGAGAGAAUGUGAUCUUUUCUACCUCUAGUUUCAGUAUUGACACAAUAAAUCUGUUCCCGUUUCUUCUUCCUGGCUCUAU
rnacentral:lncRNA from 1 species